GUAUCUCAUUUUUCCAGUCAAAAGAAGCCAGCGAAUCUUUCCUCCUCCGACGUAAAAAAAGACGAAUAAUUACUCGGCGGAUAUAAACAUUUUGGGAGUCUUAAAUACGUCAGUUUUCACGAUGAGCGGGAUCCCCGGGACUGCCGUCGUCCAAGUGACCAAUCUGUCUUCCGCGGUGAGCAGCGAGCAGCUGCGCACUCUCUUCGGCUUCCUCGGGGACAUCGAGGAGCUGCGGCUCUACCCACCCGACAACACCACACUCUCCUUCUCGUCCAAAGUGUGCUAUGUCAAGUAUCGAGAAUCUUCCAGUGUUGGUGUGGCGCAGCAUCUCACCAACACUGUUUUUAUGGACAGAGCCCUCAUAGUUGUACCCUGUGCCGAAGGGAAGAUUCCGGAAGAGGCCAAGGCCUUGUCGCUUUUGGCACCCUCUGCCCCCGUGCACAGCUUGCUCCCCGGCAGGGGUCUGCUCCCCAUCCCAACACCCACCCCGCUGCAGAACUUGAGCCUCCCCCUGGUGGGCCAUGUCACCACCCCCCUGGACCCCGCCGCUGCCUCGCUCCCCCAGCCUCCCCUCAUGGGCAACGUGGACCCCACCAAGGUGGACGAAAUCAGGAGGACAGUCUACGUAGGCAACUUGAACUCACAGACGACGACGGCAGAGCAACUCCUGGACUUCUUCCAGCAGGUCGGCGAUGUGAAGUUUGUGCGCAUGGCGGGUGAUGAGACGCAGCCCUCGCGCUUUGCUUUUGUGGAGUUCGUCGAGCAGGAUGCUGUCGCCCGGGCGCUCACCUUCAACGGCGUCAUGUUUGGAGACCGGCCCCUCAAGGUGAACCAUUCCAACAACGCCAUCGUGAAGCCUCCCGAGAUGACGCCGCAGGCCGCCGCCAAGCAGCUAGAGAGUGUGAUGAAGCGCGUGCGCGAGGCGCAGUCCACCAUCGCCGCCGCCAUCGAGCCAGCGGAGAAGGAGAAACGCUAUGCUGCUCACUCUGGGAGAACACGCCGCCCGUCGCGGUCCCGAUCUCGCUCCGGCUCGCGUAGGAGAUCACGCUCCAAACACGGACCGCCGCAGAAGUGGCCAAGGAACAACGCACGCGCUUCCCGAAGUGGCCAUGGUAGGCGCUCUCGCUCCAGAGACAGACGGCGGAGCCGAAGCCACUCCAGGGUCCGCCGGCGGAGUCGGGGGCACUCGAGGAGCCCUCCCAGAAGGGCCAGGUCGCCCUCUCCAAAGAGGAUUAAAAAGCGACGCGAGCGCAGCCGAGAAGCACGGGAACGCUCUUCAUCGAGGAAGAGGAGCCGUAAGGACGAGGAGCGGCCGAGAGGCAAGAAAACGCACAAGGUAGGACGGGAUUACGACAGAGAGGCCUCGCCCUGCGAGGACGCCCGCUCGCCCCCCUUCACGCAGCACAACGGUGUCCACAAAGCACGCAGCGACGGGAUGUCCGUUUGACAGCGCCCGACUGACUGACUUAAGUUGUCACUCCCCCCACCCCCGCCCGGAGGGCAAGUGAAGCGCCACAAUGUCCUAUUUUUGCAUCUCGGGAAGCAGCGGCGAGCGUGUGAAAUGGCGAACAGCCAACACUGGAAAAAUCUGGCUUUGAUAGGCGUUUUGAAAGGGGUGUCAAACUUCACGCCCCGGCCGUGGAUCCUGCCUGUGAUCCUUCUCCUGGAUUCAACUGGCAAGUUGACUUCCCCUGCUGUUCUUUGUCAACAACUUUCACGCAAAACAGCAAUACUGUGGAAAAACUUGCUUAGACAGCCAUUUACAGUUAAUACUUGACACUAAAAAAAACAAAACAAAACUUUAUCCUGCUUCUGUUACGCCUAUGGUCCGACCUAUCGGAAGCUGGCAAAUGGAUGGGUCGACCGCUACUUCCUGUCCAUGUCAUUACAUUUCACACAGAACAGCAACACCAGGAAAAGACUGCAUUUGACAAGCAGUGUGAAAGGGGUUUCUGAUCUUAAAACACGAAAACACAGCCUCCGUCCAGUCUCGACUACUGCCGAAGCUGGCAACCUCUGAAGGACUUCAUCCCCAUUCUCAUGUCAGUACCUUUCAAGCAGCAGAGUGACACUGGGGUAAGAGCCAGCUUUUGCUGUUUUAGUUCUAAACAUUUUUGUGACACUGUUA